AUUGAACGCUGGCGGCAUGCCUUACACAUGCAAGUCGAACGGUAGCGCGGGGCAACCUGGCGACGAGUGGCGAACGGGUGAGUAAUGCAUCGGAACGUGCCCAGUAGUGGGGGAUAGCCCGGCGAAAGCCGGAUUAAUACCGCAUACGACUUAUGGGUGAAAGCGGGGGAUCGCAAGACCUCGCGCUAUUGGAGCGGCCGAUGUCAGAUUAGGUAGUUGGUGGGGUAAAGGCCUACCAAGCCUUUGAUCUGUAGCUGGGCUGAGAGGACGACCAGCCACACUGGGACUGAGACACGGCCCAGACUCCUACGGGAGGCAGCAGUGGGGAACUUUGGACAAUGGGCGCAAGCCUGAUCCAGCCAUGCCGCGUGCGGGAAGAAGGCCUUCGGGUUGUAAACCGCUUUUGUCAGGGAAGAAACGCUCUGGGUUAAUACCUCGGGGUAAUGACGGUACCUGAAGAAUGAGCACCGGCUAACUACGUGCCAGCCGCCGCCGUAA
rnacentral:rRNA from 1 species